rnacentral:rRNA from 1 species
GAUGAACGCUGGCGGCGUGCCUAAUACAUGCAAGUCGAGCGAACGGACGAGAAGCUUGCUUCUCUGAUGUUAGCGGCGGACGGGUGAGUAACACGUGGAUAACCUACCUAUAAGACUGGGAUAACUUCGUGAAACCGGAUCUAAUACCGGAUAAUAUUUUGAACCGCAUGGUUCAAAAGUGAAUGACGGUCUUUCUGUCUCUUAUAGAUUGAUCCGCGCUGCAUUAGCUAGUUGGUAAGGUAACGGCUUACCAAGGCAACGAUGCAUAGCCGACCUGAGAGGGUGAUCGGACACACUGGAACUGAGACACGGACAAGAGUACUACGGGAGGCAGCAGUAGGGAAUAUUCCGCAAUGGGCGAAAGCAUGACGGAGCAAAGCCGAGUGAGUGAUGAAGGUCUUCGGAUCGUAAAACUCUGUUAUUAGGGAAGAAAAUAUGUGUAAGUAACUGUGCACAUCUUGACGGUACCUAAUCAGAAAGCCACGGCUAACUACGUG